CCUACGGGAGGCAGCAGUAAGGAAUAUUGGUCAAUGGGCGCAAGCCUGAACCAGCCAUGCCGCGUGCAGGAAGACGGCCCUAUGGGUUGUAAACUGCUUUUGAACAAGAGAAAACCUCGGUACGUGUACCGAGCUGAUAGUAUUGUUAGAAUAAGCAUCGGCUAACUUCGUGCCAGCAGCCGCGGUAAGACGAAGGAUGCAAGCGUUAUCCGGAUUCAUUGGGUUUAAAGGGUGCGUAGGCGGCCUGAUAAGUCAGUGGUGAAAUCUCUCAGCUUAACUGAGAAACUGCCAUUGAUACUGUCGGGCUUGAGUACAGAUGAUGUGGGCGGAAUAUGACAUGUAGUGGCGAAAUACUUAGAUAUGUCAUAGAACACCGAUUGCGAAGGCAGCUCACAAAACUGUAACUGACGCUGAGGCACGAAAGUGCGGGGAUCAAACAGGAUUAGAUACCCUGGUAGUCCGCACCGUAAACGAUGAUUACUCGUUGUUGGCAAUAUGACCGUCAGCGACCAAGCGAAAGCGANAAGUAAUCCACCUGGGGAGUACGCCGGCAACCGGUGAAACGUUAAUGAAUUGACGG
rnacentral:rRNA from 1 species